rnacentral:rRNA from 1 species
AUUGAACGCUGGCGGCAGGCCUAACACAUGCAAGUCGAACGGUAACAGGAAGAAGCUUGCUUCUUUGCUGACGAGUGGCGGACGGGUGAGUAAUGUCUGGGAAACUGCCUGAUGGAGGGGGAUAACUACUGGAAACGGUAGCUAAUACCGCAUAACGUCGCAAGACCAAAAAGGGGGACCUUCGGGCCUCUUGCCAUCGGAUGUGCCCAGAUGGGAUUAGCUAGUAGGUGGUGUAACGGCUCACCUAGGCGACGAUCCCUAGCUGGUCUGAGAGGAUGACCAGCCACACUGGAACUGAGACACGGUCCAGACUCCUACGGGAGGCAGCAGUGGGGAAUAUUGCACAAUGGGCGCAAGCCUGAUGCAGCCAUGCCGCGUGUAUGAAGAAGGCCUUCGGGUUGUAAAGUACUUUCAGCGGGGAGGAAGGGAGUAAAGUUAAUACCUUUGCUCAUUGACGUUACCCGCAGAAGAAGCACCGGCUAACUCCGUG